GUCAGAGGAUCAAAGACUAAGAAUGCCGCGUCCUGCGGCAACGUCUUUGUGGCACCUUCCUUGGGGC
rnacentral:sRNA from 1 species